rnacentral:rRNA from 1 species
AACGAACGCUGGCGGCAUGCCUAACACAUGCAAGUCGAACGAGACCUUCGAGUCUAGUGGCGCACGGGUGCGUAACGCGUGGGAACCUGCCCUUAGGUUCGGAAUAACUCCCCGAAAGGGGUGCUAAUACCGGAUAAUUUCUUCGUACCAAAGAUUUAUCGCCUUUGGAUGUGCCCGCGUUGGAUUAGCUAGUUGGUAGGGUAAAAGCCUACCAAGGCGACGAUCCAUAGCUGGUCUGAGAGGAUGAUCAGCCACACUGGGACUGAGACACGGCCCAGACUCCUACGGGAGGCAGCAGUGGGGAAUAUUGGACAAUGGGCGAAAGCCUGAUCCAGCAAUGCCGCGUGAGUGAUGAAGGCCUUAGGGUUGUAAAGCUCUUUUACCCGGGAUGAUAAUGACAGUACCGGGAGAAUAAGCUCCGGCUAACUCCGUG